ACGGUGGCUUCGGCCACAGUGGCGCACGGGUGAGUAACACGUGGGAACCUGCCUUUCGGUUCGGAAUAACGUCUGGAAACGGACGCUAACACCGGAUACGCCCAUCCAGCGAUGGUUGGGGAAAGUUUACGCCGAGAGAGGGGCCCGCGUCCGAUUAGGUAGUUGGUGGGGUAACGGCUCACCAAGCCGACGAUCGGUAGCUGGUCUGAGAGGAUGAUCAGCCACACUGGGACUGAGACACGGCCCAGACUCCUACGGGAGGCAGCAGUGGGGAAUAUUGGACAAUGGGCGCAAGCCUGAUCCAGCAAUGCCGCGUGAGUGAUGAAGGCCUUAGGGUUGUAAAGCUCUUUCGCACGUGACGAUGAUGACGGUAACGUGAGAAGAAGCCCCGGCUAACUUCGUGCCAGCAGCCGCGGUAAUACGAAGGGGGCUAGCGUUGUUCGGAAUUACUGGGCGUAAAGGGCGCGUAGGCGGUCUUGUCAGUCGGAAGUGAAAGCCCCGGGCUCAACCUGGGAAUUGCUUUCGAUACUGCAAGACUUGAGUUCCGGAGAGGAUGGUGGAAUUCCCAGUGUAGAGGUGAAAUUCGUAGAUAUUGGGAAGAACACCGGUGGCGAAGGCGGCCAUCUGGACGGACACUGACGCUGAGGCGCGAAAGCGUGGGGAGCA
rnacentral:rRNA from 1 species